UACAGAGGGGGCAAGCGUUGUUCGGAAUUACUGGGCGUAAAGGGCGCGUAGGCGGCCUUCUAAGUCGAACGUGAAAUCCCUGGGCUCAACCCAGGAACUGCGUCCGAGACUGGAAGGCUUGAGUCCGGGAGAGGAGAGUGGAAUUCCUGGUGUAGCGGUGAAAUGCGCAGAUAUCAGGAAGAACACCCGUGGCGAAAGCGGCUCUCUGGAACGGUACUGACGCUGAGACGCGAAAGCGUGGGGAGCGAACAGG
rnacentral:rRNA from 1 species